ACCUGCACUUCGCUGAUCCGGCUACUAUGACUCAAUCCGACUCCGACUAACGGAUCCUGCUCUGAGCGACCUUCCAUCAAUUAAUAUUGAUGAGAUAUGGCAGACUAGAGGUAUGACCGACCAACGAACUUAACUAAAUUAGUACUUUACCGACUCGAUUCGAUACACGGUCUACGGAUGCCCCCAAGUUAGAUGAUGGCAUUCGGCACGUGACUGACUACAUAUUCAGUGCCCUACCAACUGACUUGAUGGACGAUUGAGAAGCACCACUCAUUCGAAAUUAUUCGGCCUGCUAUCGAAUCCAUAGGUGUGGGUGUCAGUCGAGCAACUGAAUAUCAAGCAUGGCUACCAUACUAUCUCAUUGGAUCACAUCAAGUCCUGUCGCCCAGGAGCCAUAUUUUUCACCGCCAGCUGUGUGCUAUGACAAGAAACCACGAAGUCAUUAAUUACGCCC
rnacentral:lncRNA from 1 species